GUUUGUGAUUCUUUAAGCAGGCAUUGUGCAAUCGUGUUUUACUAUGAAGAAUAUUUAGCUUCUAACAUGCUGAUGAGCCUGUAAUUAAGGAGGUCCAGUUCAUGUAUGCAGGUAUUUUGCAAUCUUGGUUUUCUGUUUACUAUGAAAAUAGUUGAAAUGAAAAUACGCUGAGGUAUUUGUGGUCAUAUUAUGGCUAUAUCCAUAUCCUUGUUUUUGCAGAUCCUUAAUGAGAAGAGAACCAGUGAAAGGGAAGCGAGAAGGUCACUCAGGUUUGGAGAAGGGUUGUAGCCCAAUGUGCCCUUGCAAACAGGUUUGGCUGCUGGGGCUCAGGGUCAGUGCAGCGAGAGCACAGCCGGGGCUGUUCCAAAGGAAACUGAGAACUCCAAAGAUGAAGAUUGUGAUAUGAAGGUCACCCUUCAUACUAAGGAUCUGCCGCAUUUCCAGUCUUCAGAGACCAGCUGCAGAACAGAAGCUCCAAGGAUAGACAGAUGGAAGUGUCUCUUAUGAAUCCUGGGUAACUACAUAGUUAUUACACUUUGGAUUCCCUUUGCUAUUUAUUACUAUUUCUUUGUUGAGCGUUCUGAACACAGUCUGUGUGAUUGACUCUACACUUAUUCUCUUACCUUUUUAUCCACCUAGCAACAGUCUGCUUUAUCACAAGAGAGAUUUCUUCCUGAUUUGGCCUUUUCACUUUCUUGAAGCCCAUAUCUUUGUGAAUAAGAAAACUUACAAAUGGCUGGGCUUUCAAGAGUUCGAUUCUUGUUUUCCAAAGGAGUGUUAGUCUUAAAAUAUUAAGAUUAGAUUAAGAAAUACCUGAGGACUGUAGAUUUCACAAGAUAUUGUGACAGAUUUUUUGUCUUCCAAGUCACUGUUUACUACAGAGCCUUUGCAGAAACCCAUUUUCUGGAAGAAGAAAAUGCAAGUAUUAUUUUCACAUUGUAGCACUGAUAUUGAGCUCUUAUCUUGUAAAAUAAAUGAUUAAGAAAGGCUGAGUAGGUAUAGCUU
rnacentral:lncRNA from 1 species